AGGACGAACGCUGGCGGCGUGCUUAACACAUGCAAGUCGAGCGAGGCCCUUCCUUCGGGAAGGUGCCCUAGCGGCGAACGGGUGAGUAACACGUGGGCAACCUGCCCCUAGCACUGGGAUAACUCCGGGAAACCGGGGCUAAUACCGGAUAUGACCAUCGAGGGCAUCCUCGUUGGUGUAAAGGAUUCUGGCUAGGGAUGGGGCCCGCGGCCUAUCAGCUUGUUGGUGGGGUAACGCCUACCAAGGCGACGACGGGUA
rnacentral:rRNA from 1 species